AUUGAACGCUGGCGGCAUGCCUUACACAUGCAAGUCGAACGGCAGCACGGGAGCAAUCCUGGUGGCGAGUGGCGAACGGGUGAGUAAAGUAUCGGAACGUGCCCAGUCGUGGGGGAUAACGUAGCGAAAGUUACGCUAAUACCGCAUACGAUCUACGGAUGAAAGCGGGGGAUCGCAAGACCUCGCGCGAUUGGAGCGGCUGUUAUCAGAUUAGGUAGUUGGGGGGGUAAAGGCUCACCAAGCCAACGAUCUGUAGCGGGUCUGAGAGGACGACCGACCACACAGGGACGGAGAGACGGCCCAGACUCGUACGGGAGGCAGCAGUGGGGAAUUUUGGACAAUGGGCGCAAGCCUGAUCCAGCCAUGCCGCGUGCAGGAUGAGGGCCUUCGGGUUGUAAACUGCUUUUGUACGGAACGAAAAGGUUUGGCCUAAUAAGCUGGACCCAUGACGGUACCGUAAGAAUAAGCACCGGCUAACUACGUGCCAGCAGCCGCCGUAA
rnacentral:rRNA from 1 species